GACGAACGCUGGCGGCGUGCCUAAUACAUGCAAGUUGAGCGCUGAAGGUUGGUACUUGUACCAACUGGAUGAGCAGCGAACGGGUGAGUAACGCGUGGGGAAUCUGCCUUUGAGCGGGGGACAACAUUUGGAAACGAAUGCUAAUACCGCAUAAAAACUUUAAACACAAGUUUUAAGUUUGAAAGAUGCAAUUGCAUCACUCAAAGAUGAUCCCGCGUUGUAUUAGCUAGUUGGUGAGGUAAAGGCUCACCAAGGCGAUGAUACAUAGCCGACCUGAGAGGGUGAUCGGCCACACUGGGACUGAGACACGGCCCAAACUCCUACGGGAGGCAGCAGUAGGGAAUCUUCGGCAAUGGACGAAAGUCUGACCGAGCAACGCCGCGUGAGUGAAGAAGGGUUUCGGAUCGUAAAACUCUGUUGGUAGAGAAGAACGUUGGUGAGAGUGGAAAGAUCAUCAAGUGACGGUAACUACCCAGAAAGGGACGGCUAACUACGUG
rnacentral:rRNA from 1 species